rnacentral:rRNA from 1 species
GCAUCGAUGAAGAACGCAGCAAAGUGCGAUAAGUAAUGUGAAUUGCAGACCUUGUGAAUCAUCGAGUCUUUGAACGCAAGUUGCGCUAUCCUGUUGAGGGAUAGCAUGUUUGUAUGAGGGUUGUUAAAUAACAACAGAUGGAAUGAGGCUUCUUCAUAUUUAUUUAUGGGGAUGCUUUGAAAUUCAAGCCGAUUUAUUUUGCAUUUGAUUUCAUCCCUUGUGGUGAAAAGCUUGGAUAUAAAAAAAACUUUUAUGGCCAGAAGCUCUUGUUUUGGUCAUAUUUGGAUUGAUGCUUUUCUUUUCAUUAAGAUUCAGCAUUUAUUAUUUUUCUUAACUGUUUCAAAAGCGAUAUUUUUUAAAUGCAACCUCAUAUCAAGCAAGACUACCCGCUGAACUUAAGCAUAUCAAUAAGCGGAGGA